CCUAAACCGAACAGCCCCCAUUUCAUCUCCUUUCUCACACUUCAUCUCUGAAGCUUGCAGGCUCCAUGUGCGAUUUCAGCGGAUUUUAUGUUCUCGGCUGAAAUGACAAGCUUUCGAGUGGAUUCGGAGACUGGACGACAACAAUAGCCUCAGUUCGCUGUCACGGAGAAGGUAAUCACAUUCAUCCUAUCUUCGUCUUUAAUUUUAUUAAAGUAGAAAUGUAGUCGUCAAGUGUUUUCUCGUCGUUUGUUUGGUUUGGUUGGCUGGAAUGUGUCCUCUCCUCGUUUGUUAUAAAUUAGUGUAAGUCGACUAAUUUCGUCGAAUAUGUGUUCAACCUCGUCGCUGCUCGUCUUGGCAUUUUCUAUAUAUUUCUUUAGUUCUGUCACUUCUGAAUUUAUUUAGUGUGUUUAGUUGUAAUCUUGUUAGAGUCAAAUGAAUAAUUUACUUUCCCUCAUAUGUUAAGUAUAGUCGCUGUUUCUUUUAGUUUCGCACUAGAUCAGUUUAAGGUCGGGUGAAAUUGACGAUGAGGAUUGAAAAUGCUUAUAGGGAUAUUUUGAUCGAUUUGUAGAAUAUGGGAAUACGCAUGUCAUUUAUUUUUCUGUUUUGACUGUACAUUAGAAUCCAUGGGUGUCGUUUCUUUAUUCAGAAGUUAGUAUAUAAAUAGCUAGUAUGAAUUGUGGUUUUGCUUGAGAAAAGCUACUGAUUUGUUAGGAUAAAAAGGGGAUGAUUAUUAGUGACCAUUUGGUUUACAUGCUUUGGUCUACUUCCUUCUCAUAAUUAAUGUAUUUUUGGAUGCAUCAUAAUGUACAUGAAUCUGUCCGGAAUAAAUACGUGUGUUUGUUUGGCAUCUCUGAUGAAAGUACUGAUCCAAUGAGUGUGCAGAAAGUGUAAAGUUUUAAUAGUACCCUUAGGAUUUGGAUUAAGGAUCUGUCUACAUGAUUUCAUCUCAAAGUAGUUAUGUUGAAUGGAACCAUAGCUUAUACAUGUUCAAACUUCCUUUGGAGCAAAAGUGUUAAUUGUUUAAGUGGUGACCUGAUAAUUGCCAUACACCCGUUUAGUGAGAGUAUCGACUCUUUCCCGCGGUAACUUUUCUUCUCUUUAUUUUAAUUCUCAUGGCGGUGAAAGUGUCAUUAGCUCUCGUCGUUUGUUUAAGCCAAGUAUCAGUAUGCUAAGUUUAGACUUCAAUUUGAGUUUUCUGCAACCAACAGCUAAAUGGAUUUGUUAAAACCAAGAUGUAAUUGUCUCUCAAGAUCUCUUUUGAACUAGAAGUUUUUCUCUGUUUUCUCGGUCAAACGUUUUAAAUAAGCAGCUAAUGUUUCACGAAAGCACGUUGAAUCUAUAUGAUUUUCUUCAAACCUUCAAACACAUGCUUUGGCUAAGUAUUUUCCAAAAACAGUUUAAGAGCUUUCAAGCUUAGACUUUUUUAGACCCUUGAUACUCUGGCUGUUUGACAAAUCUGAAAUCAGAAUGUUGGUCUUUUCUUUCAUAUCUAAUGUUGCCUCUGUGAAUGUAUUUAAUCCAGCCAUAGGUCCUCUUUCUAUUCACUGUUAGUUCUCUAGGAAAUCAAGUUUUCGAAGACUAUAAGUUAUUUAAGGAGGAAAAUGCUCCCUUGUUUAAAACACUGGAUAACAUUAGUGGAAACAUAUAUCAUGAUUUGUUCUAUGUGUAUAGUCUGUUUAAGGGUGUUACAGCAUUUUCCAUUCAUGAAAUAUGUCAUGCAUUAAUUGGUUUCUAAAGUAUAUAUAUAGUAUGUGAAAUGCUAGUUUUUUUUUUAGACGUUAAAAUUUGUUUUUUUAGGCCACUAGGCUUUUGGUCAUGCUGUCUUUUCUAAAUUAUGCCUUUGUCUGCUCAUAGUUUAGUUUGAGAGUAGUAUUUCAUAUUGUAUUACGUUUGCAUCAAAUGAUUUCUUUUUAUAUGUGCUUAACAGUAUGUUGUUGUUAUGUUUAGGAGUUACCUGAAGAUCUAUUUGAGUUGUCAACUUUAUUGCUAAGCUAAUGAAACCAUGCUACAUUUAGUUCCCUAUAUUUCACUCGUCUAUUUUUUGAGGGCUUCAUGUUGGUACUGUACGCUUGAAAUGCUCGUUAGUAUAUUAUAUUAGCCAAGUUUAGUUUAACAUCAAUCUCCUUUUUUCUCAAAACUAUCUGUUGCCAUACAUGCUUUAACUGAAUGAAAUGUUCAAAAUUGGCUACUGAUGUUUUUUUCAAAUAAUUGGUUCAACUCUAGUAUUCCUUAUAUCUUUGAGAAAUAUUUUGAAUGAUCCGAUCUAACUCUUUAAAGUUGGUUUAAGUUCACGAGUUUGCUAAAUAUGUCAUCUUCUAGUUUUGCGUCUUUGAAGCUCCAUUUGUUUAGAAAUAUGACUACAAGAUUCCAGAUGAACAGUGGUUACUCUAAAUCAGUGGCUGCAUUUACUGCUGCAUUUUCGCUAAAAGUUGCUGCCAUAAACAUGGUAUUUUAAGCAAAAUUAGAAGUUAAAUAAUUGCUGUGUUUGAGGCCAACGCUGCUGCGUUUUUGGCCAUUUUCUACUGUGUUUUAGGCCAUUUUCACCUCAUUUUGGGACUGAUUUACUGCCUGCAUUUUGGCCAACUGAUUGCUGUGUUUUUUAGGGCGAAAAUGCCACAUUUUUGAAACAUUUUGGGGGGCAAAAAUGCUGCUGCAAUUUGAGGCCAACGCUGCUGCGUUUUUGGCCAUUUUUUACUGUGUUUUAGGCCAUUUUCACCUCAUUUUGGGACUGAUUUACUGCCUGCGUUUUUUGACCAUAGUUUAUUGUCGCUUAAGGUUAGGUUGGCAUUAAUGCAACAUGAAAGCUGAUAUGUCGGGUUGGUUGGGCGAAUGGAGGUGUUCUUAUUUUUAUGAAGAGGGAAAAAUUACCUCAUUCUGAUAUGCAAGUUUAGUCGAUGUAAUAUUAGGGGGAAAUAUUGAGCUACUAUUCUGUCGUGUAGGAGGAUACAUCCAGGGUCCUUGUAGAUUCACACUAAAAAAAUCUCACUCAUUAUGCCAUAUGAGGGAGAGAGCCAAGAAGCAUAGCAUAGCGUUAAUUGUUAAAGAUUUAUCUUAGAGGCUUUACUUUUAAUAAGUGGAAUGCUUAUAUUUUGUAAGAGGUCUCUCUCCCUUGAUAAUUUGUACAGAUGUAUGCUUCUCUUAUAAGUGCACACUGUUAGCUUGUGUCUAUGUCCUGUAAGUGAAAGUGUUAGGUGUGUCUAUGUCCUUUAAGUUCCAAACUGUUAGGUGUAUCCAAAACUUGAUAGCUUCUUUGCCAAAUGUGUUGGUUCAUAAACCAUUAAGCUUCCCAGUUGACACGAACGAAUAGUUUCCUAUAUAUCACUUCACAUGCCAUUUCUUGGGAAAAUUGGAGUCAGUUGCUGCUGCAUCUUUGGCUUCGGCAUUUGUUGUAUUGAAACUGUUUUAGAGCAGCUUGCUAGUACUGUUGUCUUGAUUCUUUUAUCUAGCUCUCAUUAAUUAAAGUUAUAUAGAUUCUUUUUUCCUUGUUGAGAAUUGUUUCUAAUCCUUAUCUUUAUUUUUUCGUUUUUUCAUGAGGAACCUUGGGAGCAUUUGGAGUUAUGGGCCUUAUGGCAACUCCGGAUUCUGCCCAUAUCAGAGAACAGCCAGUUGCAGGAUUUAAUUGCUCGUGUCUAGCGUCCCCGUCUUCCUUCCUCUCUUUAAAUUUCGUGUCUUCGUGUUAUCAUGUAUAUACAUGUUUAUAUUCUUGACUAACAUUUUUUAUGGAUUGUAUUUGUAGCAUAUUUGUUUCUCGCUUGUGUACAAACUUGCGGAAAAAUGAUUUAGUAUGAUAGUGAAUUUAGUCA